UUGAACGCUGGCGGCAUGCCUUAACACAUGCAAGUCGAACGGCAGCACGGACUUCGGUCUGGUGGCGAGUGGCGAACGGGUGAGUAAUGUAUCGGAACGUACCUUUCAGUGGGGGAUAACGUAGCGAAAGUUACGCUAAUACCGCAUAUUCUGUGAGCAGGAAAGCAGGGGAUCGCAAGACCUUGCGCUGAUUGAGCGGCCGAUAUCAGAUUAGCUAGUUGGUGAAGGUAAAGGCUCACCAAGGCGACGAUCUGUAGCGGGUCUGAGAGGAUGAUCCGCCACACUGGAACUGAGACACGGUCCAGACUCCUACGGGAGGCAGCAGUGGGAAUUUGGACAAUGGGGGCAACCCUGAUCCAGCCAUGCCGCGUGAGUGAAGAAGGCCUUCGGGUUGUAAAGCUCUUUCGGCCGGGAAGAAAUCGCAUGGGCUAAUACCCUGUGCGGAUGACGGUACCGGCAUAAGAAGCACCGGCUAACUACGUG
rnacentral:rRNA from 1 species